AGAGUUUGAUUAUGGCUCAGAUUGAACGCUGGCGGCAGGCCUAACACAUGCAAGUCGAGCGGUAGAGAGGUGCUUGCACCUCUUGAGAGCGGCGGACGGGUGAGUAAUGCCUAGGAAUCUGCCUGGUAGUGGGGGAUAACGCUCGGAAACGGACGCUAAUACCGCAUACGUCCUACGGGAGAAAGCAGGGGACCUUCGGGCCUUGCGCUAUCAGAUGAGCCUAGGUCGGAUUAGCUAGUUGGUGGGGUAAUGGCUCACCAAGGCGACGAUCCGUAACUGGUCUGAGAGGAUGAUCAGUCACACUGGAACUGAGACACGGUCCAGACUCCUACGGGAGGCAGCAGUGGGGAAUAUUGGACAAUGGGCGAAAGCCUGAUCCAGCCAUGCCGCGUGUGUGAAGAAGGUCUUCGGAUUGUAAAGCACUUUAAGUUGGGAGGAAGGGCAUUAACCUAAUACGUUAGUGUUUUGACGUUACCGACAGAAUAAGCACCGGCUAACUCUGUGCCAGCAGCCGCGGUAAUACAGAGGGUGCAAGCGUUAAUCGGAAUUACUGGGCGUAAAGCGCGCGUAGGUGGUUCGUUAAGUUGGAUGUGAAAUCCCCGGGCUCAACCUGGGAACUGCAUUCAAAACUGUCGAGCUAGAGUAUGGUAGAGGGUGGUGGAAUUUCCUGUGUAGCGGUGAAAUGCGUAGAUAUAGGAAGGAACACCAGUGGCGAAGGCGACCACCUGGACUGAUACUGACACUGAGGUGCGAAAGCGUGGGGAGCAAACAGGAUUAGAUACCCUGGUAGUCCACGCCGUAAACGAUGUCAACUAGCCGUUGGGAGCCUUGAGCUCUUAGUGGCGCAGCUAACGCAUUAAGUUGACCGCCUGGGGAGUACGGCCGCAAGGUUAAAACUCAAAUGAAUUGACGGGGGCCCGCACAAGCGGUGGAGCAUGUGGUUUAAUUC
rnacentral:rRNA from 1 species